rnacentral:rRNA from 1 species
CACGUAGGGCGCGAGCGUUGUCCGGAAUUAUUGGGCGUAAAGAGCUCGUAGGCGGCCUGUUGCGUCCGCUGUGAAAGCCCGGGGCUUAACCCCGGGUCGGCAGUGGAUACGGGCAGGCUAGAGGUAGGUAGGGGAGAAUGGAAUUCCCGGUGUAGCGGUGAAAUGCGCAGAUAUCGGGAGGAACACCGGUGGUGUAGACGGCUUUCUGGACCGUAACUGACGCUGAAACACGAAAGCGUGGGUAGCAAACAGG